AUGACCAAGGAAAAGGGGACAACUGAAGAAGCCUACCUGUUUCUGGGAAUCGGAGGGCAUGAAAAAACAGUUGAUCAAGUUAAAUCUCUUCAUGACUUCUCCGCCAUUGAUCUGUCGAAGCAAUUGGUACUACCUAAAUAUGUUGCUUUUAAAGGCGACAAUGACAUGUACCUCCGGGCAAGGAUCAUCCAGAAACGCAAUUACCUGGAAUUCUCAUCAUCUGAUAUUGCAGAUUCAACUGUGGUCAACACUAUUUUCCCCAACUAUGCUAAUGGGAACGUGCGCAUAAAAUCUAACCACUUCAAUAGGUUUUGGAGGCUCAGCCCCAACUGGAUCUGGGCUGACUCGGCCGACACCAGUAGCAGAGACCGUGACACGCUCUUCAGGGUGGUCAUGUUGCCCGACUACAUCGGUCUCCAGAACCUAGGAAACUCCAGGUACUGCAAGAGGCUAACUGCCGAUAAGAAGACAAGCUGCCUUAACGCCGCCGUCGAUACCAUCACCCUUGAAGCAAGGUUACGGGUGGAAGAAGCCGUACUUUCGCGAGAGGUCUAUGGCGUGGAGUUCAAGCUCUCUGAAGCUAGGAUCUACGGCGAGAAGCCUCUUACCUUUCCCAGCAUGACUUCAACCAAUGACACCAACGAAACACAUGCCAAGACCCUGACCCUGAAAUACGAGGAGACGCAGGCCAAGACCUGGAGCUCGACUGUUAGCCUCAAGAUCGGUGUCACGGCCAAGUUAAGAGCCGGGAUCCCGGUCAUAGCAGAAGGGAAGGUUGAGGUAUCCACUGAAUUCAACUCAGAGUACGAGUGGGGGUCAUCCAUUCAGACAACGACAUCACAAGAGGCCUCCUACCAGGCUGUGGUGCCUCCGAUGACCAAGGUGACAAUCAGAGCGGCUGCGACUCAGGGUUCUAUUGACGUCCCGUUCUCCUACACUCAGAGGGACAUUCUGACCACAGGAGAGGUUGUUACCUACAAGAUGGACGAUGGCCUGUUCACUGGUAUGAACAACUAUAAUUUCCAAUUUGAAGCCACACAAGAGCCCAUCUGA
rnacentral:rRNA from 1 species